ensembl:lncRNA
GUUACAUAUAUAUAUAUAUAUAUAUAUAUAUAUAUAUAUAUACACCUAUAUUACCGCGCGUACAUAUCUGUGUAUAUAUGCUCAUGUUAUCAUCAUUUUAGCAAAAAAAAAAAUAAAAAAAAUAAAAUAAAAUAAUUAAAUAACUAAGAAUGUUAAAGAAUGAGUUAGAUUAUUUGAAGUAUAUCAUUUGUGACAUUUUCGGUUACUGCUGUAGCGAAAUAGUGGAACUUAUUUUAUUAUAUGGUAAUAAAUUAACUAUCAAUGAAAUUAUAAAUUUAUCUAAUUAUGAAUUUCGCAUAGUUCGAAAUGUUUUGUUAUGUUUGUUAAUACAUAACGUAAUAGAUACUCGUAUAGUUUAUAACAAACUAGCUGAAUGUACUCAUUUGAAGUUGGACUACAUAAAAAAGAAUAACAACAAGAGCAAUAGUAACAAUGACAAUUUAAAAAAUACGUCUUUAUUCGAUGAUGAAGCAGAAAAACAACAAAACGAUGAUGACGCAUCUUUAUUCCUUACAAAUAAACAAAAAAAUGGAAAAAAUGGAAAAGGAGAAAUGGAAACAGUAGCAGCAGUAGUAGAAAAUGAUUUGACAGAUAUACAAAAUAACACCGAUAUGUUACAUUCCAAUGAUAACAUACAAUUUUUAUUGGAAAAGGAAAGUAACAAAUUUAUGAAAGGGUGUCGAUGUGAUUUUUGUAUAUGUAAGAUAAAAAGAGUUGAGUAUUUUGUUAUAAUUAUUAACAUUUAUACUUUAAUUCGAUAUUCGUCUAUACUUUAUUAUAUUCAUCCGACAGGUAUAAAAGAAAAAAAUGAAAACAAAAGUCAAAAUAUAAAUACAGUCAAUAAUAAAUAUACUUCAUUUAAUGGUGUUUCAACCAUGAAUAAUAGACAUAGUACUAAUAAAGCUACGUCUACUGCCACUACUAUGGGUAUUAAUUCUCACAGUGUUAAUUAUAAUUUUUUUCAUACUGACAUCGGUUACGAAGGGCGGUACGACUUUUCCAAAGACAAUGUAACAGAUGAUUAUGAAAAUGUAGGUGGUGGUAGUAGUAGUAGUAAUAGUAAUAAUAAUGGCAUGUGUAGUAAAAUGCACGAAGAAAAUGAAUAUUUAUAUGCACAAGAAUGUGCGGAUUUAGAAAAAAAACAAGAAAUGAUACAACUUGUUGAAAAGGUUUUACUUAUAAGAAUAAUAAAAAAUGGAAGAAUAACCAUCGAAAAUUGUAUCAAAAAUAUUAAAUGUGAUGAUUACAUUGAAGUUUGCAAAACAUGUAUACCAAAUAUGAGCACAAAAAAAUUAAAAUUAAUUUUUAUACAAAUGAUAAAAAAAAAAUAUAUAAAAAAAUGUAAAUAUUUUAAUGAACAUAUCUGUGAAAAUGAUAAAAGUAGCAAUGUAAAACAAGCCAUAUAUAACAAUUCGAUUAAUUAUAUUAACUUAAAUGUUGAGGACUCAUAUCGAGAAAAUGCAAUUGGUAUUAAUGAGAAGCACAGUAGUAACAGAAUUUGCGGAAAUAUUGAAAAACAAGACGAAAAUGAUGAUGAUAGUAACUUUUUGAAUAUUAAUGCUCAUACAACAAACAAUAUACACAGUAAUAACAUAUUAGACGAAGCACAAAAUAGUAAUAUAAGAAGUAGCAAAAAAAGAAAAACAAAUAACAGUAAUAUAAAAAAAACGAAAAAAGGAAUUAUAAAUGAUAACACAAGUUGUUCUGAAAAGUACAACUACGAAAACAAUUUAAGGAAUAUAACAAACGAAUUAGGAAGUACAAAAAAAAAUAAAAAUACAAAAACAAACACAAACACAAACACAAACGCAAACGCAAACGCAUACAUAAAAAAAAAAGAAGUUCAAUAUAUACAUAAUUAUAGCCAACCAAAUGAUAGUAUACACAAUUUGAAAAAUAAAGAUGUUUUACAAAACAACUUAUUAGAAUAUCUGGAUAACCCUUUUACGUAUUUUCAAGCAAAUAAUGAAAUGCUAACACAGUU